AGUGAACGCUGGCGGUAGGCCUAACACAUGCAAGUCGAACGGCAGCACAGUAAGAGCUUGCUCUUACGGGUGGCGAGUGGCGGACGGGUUAGGAAUACAUCUGAAUCUACUUUUUCGUGGGGGAUAACGUAGGGAAACUUACGCUAAUACCGCAUACGACCUACGGGUGAAAGCAGGGGAUCUUCGGACCUUGCGCGAUUGAAUGAGCCGAUGUCGGAUUAGCUAGUUGGCGGGGUAAAGGCCCACCAAGGCGACGAUCCGUAGCUGGUCUGAGAGGAUGAUCAGCCACACUGGAACUGAGACACGGUCCAGACUCCUACGGGAGGCAGCAGUGGGGAAUAUUGGACAAUGGGCGCAAGCCUGAUCCAGCCAUACCGCGUGGGUGAAGAAGGCCUUCUGGUUGUAAAGCCCUUUUGUUGGGAAAGAAAAGCAGAAGGUUAAUACCCCGCUGUUCUGACGGUACCCAAAGAAUAAGCACCGGCUAACUUCGUG
rnacentral:rRNA from 1 species